AGAUCUAUCUAUGGAAAUGUAUAGCUACGAGAGGGGAGUGCAUCUACAUACCCUUGUAGAUCGCUAAGAGGAAGCGUUAAUAAACGCGGUUGAUGUAGUCGAACGUCUUCGCGCUCCAAUCACGAUCAUCCCGAUCCAACGCCGAACGGAUGACACCUCCUGAUUCAGCACACAUAGGGCACGACGACGUCUCCACCUCCUCGAUCCAGCGAGUGUAGGUGGAGUAGUAGAUGAGUUCUCCUGCAGCAUGACGAUGUGGUGACGAUGGUGGUGGUGCAAUCAUAGCACGGCUUCGCCAAGCGCUGCCCGAAGCGAUGGAGGAGAAAACGAUCUAGAGGGAGAGAGGGAGGGCACCGCCA
rnacentral:lncRNA from 1 species